CCUACGGGUGGCAGCAGUGGGGAAUAUUGCACAAUGGGCGAAACCCUGAUGCAGCGACGCCGCGUGAGUGAUGAAGUAUUUUGGUAUGUAAAGCUCUAUCAGCAGGGAAGAAAAUGACGGUACCUGAUUAAGAAGCCCCUGCUAACUACGUGACAGCAGCCGCGGUAAUACGCAGGGGGCGAGCGUUAACCGGAUUUACUGGGUGGAAAGGGAGCGUAGACGGCAGCACAAGUCAGGAGUGAAAUGCCGGGGCUUAACCCCGGAACUGCUUUUGAAACUGUGCAGCUAGAGUGCAGGAGAGGUAAGUGGAAUUCCUGGUGUAGCGGUGAAAUGCGUAGAUAUUAGGAGGAACACCAGUGGCGAAGGCGACUUACUGGACUAUAACUGACGUUGAGGCUCGAAAGCGUGGGGAGCAAACAGGAUUAGAUACCCGAGUAGUC
rnacentral:rRNA from 1 species